rnacentral:snRNA from 1 species
GCAGCCCCAAUCGGGCGGUA